rnacentral:rRNA from 1 species
AGUCGUAACAAGGUUUCCGUAGGUGAACCUGCGGAAGGAUCAUUACAGUUAUUAUAUUCUACCAGCGCUUAAUUGCGCGGUGGAAAAUAAUCCUUACACACUGUGUUUUUUGUUAUUACAAGAACCAUUGCUUUGGCUUGGCUUAGAAAUAAGUUGGGCCAAAGGUAUACUAAAACUUCAAUUUAUUUAAUUGAAUUGUUAUUUAAUAUAAUUUUGUCAAUUUGUUUGAUUAAUUUCAAAAUAAUCUUCAAAACUUUCAACAACGGAUCUCUUGGUUCUCGCAUCGAUGAAGAACGCAGCGAAAUGCGAUAAGUAAUAUGAAUUGCAGAUUUUCGUGAAUCAUCGAAUCUUUGAACGCACAUUGCGCCCUCUGGUAUUCCAUAGGGCAUGCCUGUUUGAGCGUCAUUUCUCUCUCAAACCUUUGGGUUUGGUAUUGAGUGAUACUCUUAGUCGAACUAGGCGUUUGCUUGAAAAGUAUUGGCAUGAGUGUGCUGGAUAGUACGUUCUGAUUAUUCAAUGUAUUAGGUUUAUCCAACUCGUUGAAGGAUCAGGUGUAAAUUUCUGGUUACAUUGGCUCGGCCUUACAACAACAAACAAGUUUGACCUCAAAUCAGGUAAGAAUACCCGCUGAACUUAAGCAUAUCAUAAAAGUCG